CUAGAGGAGCGUUUUCAUAAUAAGCUUGUUUGGGCCCCUUUGAGACCUGCUGACAGUCAAAUUCAAUUAAAACAUGAUGCCAACAUCCCGGCAAACACUCCCUACUACUCUCAGAGAAACGCUGGCUUUCAAAGUCAAUUGUGUCCAAUGUGAAGAGCCUGCCUUCGUGUCCCCGUCUGGAGCCUUUUCACGUGCUAAAAUAAGAGUUUCCCCCUCGUUCCCCAAGUCGACAUGAGCAAAUCCAAGACUCCUAACCCAUCUUCAGUCAGCACUUAUCACACAUCAAAAGUGGCCCCCAGGUGGAGCAGUGUUUCCUCUCUGGACCUGUAUAUCUCUGUGAUCACUGACUUCCACUAGGGCCUGAGGAAUAUUUCACUUCCUGAUCCUUACACAUGAUCCAAAUCCAUCACCCAACGCUGAAAGUGAAGAGAGGGAGAAGGAGAGGGACAAGCACAUAUUCUCAGAGUGCAUUGUGGAUAGGAAUGCCAUUGAAUUUGGGUGUUUUUUCAUGAGCCAGCCUCUUUUGUGUGCAGGCUAAGGAAGUCCAUUGUGCGGGCAGACACCCUGAGAAAAGAGGGGAGCUUGGAGCUGUUGUCUGCUGGUGCUUCUGCAGCGCUCGAGCCCUAAAAAGACCUGAAUAAAACUCUGCCAUCGGAAGCAGCCGGCCCGAACCAAGAGACAAUGCCACUGGGCAACUUUGAAGACCAGCAACA